GUUGCCUUUGAAUGGGACCCUUGAUACAAGGCUUUCAUAGACCAGCCGGUGCUGAUGGGGUCCGGGACUUGACGAUGGCGCCUGCUCGUUCCUGUUGUGUUCUAUCUGAGGCAUGAUUUUCUUUCGUUUUUGGGAGGUAGAGAGCACGGGGCAGAGGUUGCACCUGACACAUUAGAACUCCGUUGUCACUGCUGUGGCUGUUAUUCCCCUCGGCAAGAGCCAAGGAGCAAACAGGACGGCAAAGAUGGGCUGUCUGGAAAGCUGGACUCAGCCUGGAGCAUGUUCCCCAGAUUGCUAUUUUGUGAAGGCUUCCGCAUACAAAUGACUCAGAUCCAAACAUUCAAAAAUGAUCUUGGAGGGCCAUCUGGUUCUUGCUGGUUCUAAAAGCUUCCUUCAGCCUGGAGUAUGGAUCCAGUACAAAAGAUAGUGAGAGCUGUUCAUUGAGGUUUAACAUGUUCCACUGACCGAGGCUAGAAGCUGGCUUUAAAAAAUAGCCAACACUGAUGCUCCAAGGGCCAAUUGCUGAUGCUUGUCACAGUGAAGAUCCCGGUGUUACACAUCCAAUCGUUCACCUCCUUCCAAGACUAUGACAUUCCAGGAAACCUUCACUGCUAAGAGGAACUAAGAUCUAGAGUAUCUCCUCGAGGAAGUACAACUGGUAAUUAAUAAGAAGUCCAGUGGCUCACACCUGCGAUCCCAGCACUUUGGGAGGCUGAGAUGGGCAGAUUGCUCGAGCCCAGGAAUUCAAGACCAACCUGGGCAACAUGGCAAAACCCCAUCUCUACAAAAAUACAAAAAUUAACCAGAUGUGAUGGUUCAUGCCUGUAGUCCCAGCUACUCUGGAGGCUGAUGUGGGAGGAUCGCUUGAGCCUAGGAAGUCAAGGCUGCAGUGAGUCAUGAUUGCUCCGCUCCACUGCACUCUGGCCUUGAUGAUAGAGUGAGAACCAGUCUCAAAAAAAAAAAGGUCAUUUUCUAAGCAUUUGUUGAUUCAAUACUGCCCACUAUGUACACUGACAAUUAGACAUAAUUUAAUUUCAGCUCAUGGUAUGAAUGGAGACAAAAUGAAAUCAUUUUAAUGCACAUUAAGGCAAUAUAGUGCCCUUAAAUAAAAAGUUGAAGUUCAUAAGGGACCAUCAUUAAGAUUUAACUUUGUAACAAAUAUUUUGUUUUUGUUUGUUUUAUUUUUAGAUUUGCAUAAUAAAACAUUCAUAUUCUUA
ensembl:lncRNA MIR100HG mir-100-let-7a-2-mir-125b-1 cluster host gene